GCUUGCGGCCCUACCACCCUGAAUGCGCCCGAUCUCGUCUGAUCUCGGAAGAUAAGCAGGAUCAGGCCUGGUUAGUACUUGAAUGGGAGACCGGAGGAGUACGGGUGCUGCCGACA
rnacentral:rRNA from 1 species